rnacentral:tRNA from 1 species
GCCCUCGUCGUUCAAUGGAUAGGAUGCCUCCCUCCGAAGGAGGUGAUGCAGGUUCGAUUCCUGCUGAGGGCACCG